UACGUAGGGUGCAAGCGUUAAUCGGAAUUACUGGGCGUAAAGCGUGCGCAGGCGGCCAUGCAAGACAGAUGUGAAAUCCCCGGGCUCAACCUGGGAACUGCAUUUGUGACUGCAUGGCUAGAGUACGGCAGAGGGGGAUGGAAUUCCGCGUGUAGCAGUGAAAUGCGUAGAUAUGCGGAGGAACACCGAUGGCGAAGGCAAUCCCCUGGGCCUGCACUGACGCUCAUGCACGAAAGCGUGGGAGCAAACAGG
rnacentral:rRNA from 1 species